CACGUAGGCACCGAGCGUUGUCCGGAUUUAUUGGGCGUAAAGAGCUCGUAGGCGGUUCAGUACGUCGGGUGUGAACACUUUGGGCUUAACCCAAAGCGUGCAUCCGAUACUGCUGUGACUUGAGUACGGUAGAGGAGCGGGGAAUUCCUAGUGUAGCGGUGAAAUGCGCAGAUAUUAGGAGGAACACCGGUGGCGAAGGCGCCGCUCUGGGCCGAAACUGACGCUGAGGAGCGAAAGCAUGGGUAGCAAACAGG
rnacentral:rRNA from 1 species